rnacentral:tRNA from 1 species
GCCGGAGUGGCGGAAUAGGCAGACGCAAGGGACUUAAAAUCCCUCGGGCUUACAAGCUCGUACCGGUUCGACCCCGGUCUCCGGCACCA